rnacentral:lncRNA from 1 species
UGAGAGGCAAGAAGCAGCGGGUAGCACUUUUCUCGGUAUCAAAGAGACGUGAAACUAGGGAGAAGCAGAUCUUAGGGGGACAAGAGUACAUAUGAAACACAGCAGAGGAGUAGGAUAUGUCUUUGAAUGAAGAUGCCUGAGGGACUGAAUAAAGAACCUGGACAACUAAAGAAAAAAGACACCUAUGGAUCAGAAUUGAGACAAUUUCUUCAGCUACUUAAUUUUUUUUCUUGUAAAAAAAGAACUUCCAGUUUCCCAAGACGCAACAUUGAAUUCAAUCAGAGGUAAAGAUUCUGGACUAUUGGAUUAAAUGAGGAGGCAGGAGCUACUAUCUCUUGCAGUGUGAAACCAGGGCCGGGGAUGAAGAUAUGGACACAUCUCAGCUUUCCAGGGAUGCUGUGAUGUGGUGAAAUUAUGCCAUUCAUUAGAAGGUGAUACUGUCAUCAAUGUGAGAGGCCCAGGACUCUGCAGGGCCUGAAGAAAUCCUGGGCAAUGAGUCUGAGGGAAGUCUCUCAGAGCAGCUACUCUGAGAGAGUAAAGCCGCAGCCUUUGUGGGGUAUGAAAGCAGCGUUCUCAUGGAUAAGGCUUAUUUGAGACGAAGUGGAGGCCUUGUUUUGUCCACUUACCGCAAUGUCCACUGUCCCCAACUGCAGCAUGCCAACAGCAAAUGUGUUUAGUGGAUAUGUGCUUUGUAGCUAACAAGAAACAGUAACAUUUAUUUUUCCAUGCCUAGUUGCUUAACAAACGAUAUUCUAAAAGGGCACCACGUUUUAUGUGUGUUUACAUGAAAACAAAUCAAAUCAUGAACUGGUGGUCAGGGAGUUCUGGAAACAAUAAACAAGUUGACCAUGCAACUGACAGCUCCCCUCUGAAAUGCAGACACAGCUAAGUCCAGCAUGACUCGCUGAAGGCACAUGCAAAGAACAGGCGGGGCAGUUUGGUG